rnacentral:lncRNA from 1 species
GGUGCGGAAACAUAUUCAUGAUAUAAUCUGGAUAAUAUAAUUCUGAUAAAGUUUACAACUUGAUAAAACUGAAGAGAGAACUGGAAUUUAUAUUUCAUGACUCUGACUGACUCUCUAUGAAGCCUCUACUAUACUGACUAUAGAUAGCUGGACAUGCCUCCAACUACCACUAAUCAAUACAUAUGAAUAAAUACAAUACAAUACAAUACAUUACAUGAACUACAAGUGACUGGAGUCCCCGAAAUAGGAGAACUCAUCACCGGCUGGCUGGAAGCUGCAACUGUCUGAUUCUAAUGUGUAGGCUACAACUGGUACCUAUAUUAUGAGACAAUGUAGCACAUAGACAUAUACAUGGAUCAGUACUUUGGAAUGUACUGAGUAAGUGGGGGCGAAUGCAAUACGUAAAACUGAUUACAUAUAAAAUCUUAAAACAUGUAUGCUAAGUGCAAGUAGACUCACCAAGAGACUAAAAUGAACAAAAAACUAAAGUAUAUUAAAACAUGAGUAACAAAUAUGAUCUGAUAAGCUGAUGAAUCACUACACUUAGUUUCUUAAAUCUUUAAUUUUGUAGAAUAAGUAGAAUUGAAGCUGGGAAGUGGUAUAACAUGAAUACUGUAUGUACAUCUCAUGUAAAGCUGAAUAUGUUGUAAAACUAUACCGAGGAUAAUGUAUGAAUUAUGGGUCUGAAACUAUGGAAUGAAAACUGAUAUAACUCAAGGAUCUGAAUAUACCGAUGUACUGAGAAUUAAUACAUGAACAUACAAACCAAACAUAACAUUUACUGAGCUGAUCUGAUUAACUUAAUAACUGAUGCCUGUGUAACUGAAUGAAUGAUUGAAAUCUAAGUAAAAGGAUAACUAAUGUCUAUAUACUGAGUAGCUAAUAUCUGAUAUCUGAAUACGGACUAACUGAUUUACGAACACUAAAUAACUGAUGAUUGAAUACUGAAUAACCAUCAUCUAAAUACUGAUCAACUAACAUCUGAAUACUGAUUAAUUGAUAUCUGUAUACUGAUUAACUGAUAUUUGAAUACUGAUCAUGUAAUACUGAACUUACUUAGUCUGAAUAACUGGAUUGAAACUGUGGGAGGUAUCAUGUAACCGACAUGCCGCAAUCUGAGCUAAUAGGAGUUCAACCUGCAAUCUCAGUUGAAAGGGUGUCAGUACCGUGCCACCGGUACUAACACUGGCUGUGUGAAUCCACUAAACUGGUGUCCCGAAGGACUAAAGAGUCACCCUUUACUGGCAGGUGCCCUCAUGAGAUCUGUGUCAACCCCUAACUGGUAGGUAGACAUCUCAAACCUACGCUGGCUACAUAGUUCUGUAACUCAGGGAUUGCUACUAAGGGUCACACCCUUUACUGGUAGGUGAGCCCCCAUCCCUGGGUUCACUCGAUGUUAAAUCCUACUCCUAACUGAACUGACAUUGGUACUGCACUGAACUAAGUUUAAUUAAACAUUAUUUCUGAUAAUUAAUAGUGCCCAUCAUGAUCAUAAAUAUCUAAGUAAAUAAUAAGACCUAUGGUUUCACUGAAUUAUUACUUGAAAGAUCUGAAGCAUAAGUAAACACAUAGGUAUCGGGUAUUCAUAACCCGCCAACACUGAAUGACCAUAAAGCACGACAUCAACACUUAAAACUGUAGGAUGGAAAUCAUGGUUCAAAGACCCAAAACAUGAAUAUUCCACCAAACAUGUGAGAAACAUGAACUUGAACAUGGUAAUGUGUUAAACAUGAGAAAUCAACAUGAUUGCACGACUAAAUUCAUAAAUUGAGGGUUUAACAUGAAAUUCACUUGAAUAUGACAUGGAAAAUUGAAACUUGAAGCAUGAUAUAACACAACUAUCCAUGGAGUCAUACUUAGACAUGAAUUAAGUUCAAAUCACUAAGGAAAACAUAAUAUAAAUCCAUCUUGAACAUAUGCGUCUUCAAUAUAAAAGAAAACUCAUCUUUUAAAAUCAAAGAAAGGUUUUUGGGUUCCAUGGGUGAAAGGGACACAUGAAUGAACUCCCACAUACCUUAAUUAGAUGAAUUUUUGCAAUUGAAGCUUAAAUCCUUGAAAAAAAUACUUGAAUUUGGAGUUUAGAUACUUGAAUUCUUGGAAAGAAAGUUGAAUAUUUCAUUCUUGGUAAGAGGAGGGUUUCUAUGUGAGAAAUUUUAAGAAAGAUAGGAAAAUAAUGCCCCUUUGGGUGUUAUAAUUCGUGCCUUGGACGUUUGGGGUUGAGGAAAAAGGACCAAAGUGCCCCUUGACCCUUAAGAAGCUGAAACAGAGGGGGAAUAAACUCCGCGUUGCAUCCUAUAUUUUGUGGAGAGAGCAACGCAUCGCACCCCAUAUUGUGUGGAGAGACCGGCACGCCGCGACCAAAUCGCGGAUCCUUACUGUCUCUCACGAAAAAGGCCAUAACCUUUUUCCUAGGUAUUGGAUUAAGGCAAAAUUUGGUAUCAUUUUGAAGAUAACUCAAUUAUCUAUCAUUUGGUGGGUCUUUAGCUGAAAAAUUCCAUGUAUAUAAAAAGUUAUAUAUGUUCAAAGUAGACCCUUGUAGCAUCGAAUACAAAGAUUUGGCCGAAUCAAAGGCUCUUGGCUCAACUUUGUUCUAAGUGAUUCCUAUGAAAAUUUUUUACCUCGAAAGCACUUCAGACACUAGGUUAAUGAUAAUGACACAUGUAUUCACAUACAAAUCAUGGGUUUAAAGUUUAAACACGUAGGAACGACGGUUCAAAGUUUAGCUCGAAUAUACGGGGUGUUACAUUAUCUCCCUCGUGGAAUCAUUCGUCCCCAAAUGAUUGAUAGGAACUUGUUGAAGUCUUAGAAGCAUGGAAUAAUGUACACAUUACAUGUCUGGUAAUGAAGGAUAUAGCUGAGCUGAAGCAUUAUUACUUUAUCAUGAAACUGAUUUCCUGAGCUGACUUGACUUUACUUACUAUAAGGAGCGGAUUCAUGUUGAGAGUUUAGAACUCGCUUGAAAGGUUCUUGAUACAAUAAUGCACAUAGAACAACGAGGUAAUAACUUAUGCAAGCACGAAUCAUGAGAUAACGAGACUAAGAUCGUACAAGAAAUACUACAUUGUUUGAGCUAAAAUACAUGAAAAAAUGAGGUCAUGCACUGAACACUUAUGAGCCGAAUCAUGACUAUAUAGCUAAAUUUGAAACAUGAUGCAUGAACUGAGCUCAACAUGAUGCAUGAACUGAGCUGAACUCAUAAUUUUCAUGGACGUGAAUGAAUUACCUCAUGGAAUAUCCAUAUUCAUUGAGACUUUGGAUAGUAUGACUAGAUAGAAAGAUGAAAAACCUUAUCUGUCUGACUGCUAAUCUGAGUUGCUGGCUAUACAGACUGAAUUAUACUAGAAGGUUAUAAUCAACUGGAAUAUUCUAAAUAAGAUAUCUGAGUAAGGAAUCUUAAUAUGGUUAUAACUCUAUAACAUGGAACGUAGGGCAUGAAACAUAAGCUGGGAUACCACCACUAUGCCUAAAGUAAGGCAACUUCUAACACUCAAGCUUAGUCCCAAGUCUGAGUUGAACUACAUACCCUCACUAUGUUCAAGACUAACUCAAAAUCACAAGGUAUUGUAUAUAAAACCAUAACACUUGUCUGAACCAUGAGUUCAAUACCCUAUGCAUUUUCACAACUUCAUAUUGCAAAAAUAACUCUUCUUACCCCUUCAAUAACUAAAUUCAAUCCUCUUACUAGGAAUUCAAUAGCACACAAUGCACCCAUCCACUUAUAUACCAAGAUGACACUCAAGUCUAUCAUUAUAACCAUAUAUGAACUUCUAGGCAAACACCCAUAAAACAUCUUUCUCAUAUUCUCCAAACCCCUAUCAAAAUAAUUUUUUUGCACCAUUCUUAAGAAGACACACAUGGAAUUCUCAACUAACCAUGACCAUGACAUAUAUCAAAAGUUCUACCUCAAUCAUCAUUCACGCUUAUAGCCUGAGAUACAGCAAGCAUGCAAUAAUCUUUCCCCACAUGAGACAUUUACUCUCUCCCAUCUAAAUAAUUACUCAUUACCACUAUCAUUAUAUAAGGAGAGGUCACUGAAAGGUUAGAACAUGAGGAAUUGAAACAUGAAAGUAUAAUAUACAUAACUUGGACCCUUCAAUGAGGCCUGAGGAAUAAAGUAUCAAAAGCAUGAAUUCAUUAAAGAGAUCAAAACUGAGGACAAACAUGACAUGAUCUAAAUUUCACUAAUCAUUAAGAGUGUAACGUGAGUACUUGAAACUAAACAUACUGUAAAACACGAGUACAUGAGUCAUGAGCUGCAUGACCUGAGUUUGGAGUUCAUAAAUUCAUGGAAUAUGAUUCGUACUGCAGAGUAAACUGGAACUCCUCAUACAAGGAUCUGGAAGCGUACAUGAUUCUAUGAAAUGUGCAUGAAUAUGAGCUAUGAUCAUAGGGAUGACUUUUAAGGCAUAAGUAGAUAUCGGGAUGACUGGAUACAAAACCUUGCACUAAGAUAAGAAUGGGUCGGACAUCUUCCUCCCUUACUAAUGUUCUAUAAUACACUGACAUCACUACUAGAAUCUGAGAGCUUGACUUGAUUACUUGUUCAAUCAUAUCCCCCUUAGCUUAAAGUCAUCACUCUAAGUCUGUAGAACCUUUUACUAACUCUAAACUGAACUGCAACCAUUUUACUCUAGAGUCUGAGAUAUAACAAUACACAUAUAUACUAAACUCAACCUGAAAGACUACACCUGAAAGUGUAAAAGCCAUUUCCAGUACUUUCUUCUGAGAUACAACUCUUAGCUUUCUAUAGUACCACUCGUCAUCAUAUAAUAACUUAAACACUACCCAACUUAGAAUCUUCAUAAUUAUCACCAUACCAUGAGAAUUACCAUUACACCAACAUGCCUUACAUCAACAACAUAUAAUUUCGAAUCAACAUACUUAAAUUCUUGCAUACACUAUUUCAAGCAUACUAUUUCACCUUUUAUAUAACUAACCCCAAUGGACACAUAAUCUGCUACAUCUAAAUAACCACUAUCCCACUUUCCUGUUGCUAAACUUCCUUUAAACUCUGGAUCAUAUGUUAUCAAAGGAUUCUGAGAAGGGAUCUGAGGGCACAUUUAACUUUGGCUUAGUGCACAAUUUUCAUGAACAUGAAUGAAGUCCUUCAAACUUUGAAACUUAAAAGCACUGAUGGGAUACUUUCGAGCCUGUAUACAAUCCCAUAACUGUCUAAAAAACCUUUAUCUGUAGGAAUUUAAGCUUCACUAUUCCUGUUACCUUAAAAAUAAGACAGAGUUGAAAUGAACGGAGCAACAUAAGAAUCUACAUAAGUUUCUUAGAGAACACUUUUACUGCACGAUCUAAGACAUGAAAGAAGGAAAACAUUUCUUAAAUGCCCCAUAUCUUCCCCAUAUCCUCUCAAAGAAAAGUACAGACGUAUCCGUAUCGUUCCACAAGAAUCUAUUAGACACAACUUCAUAGACACCCUAGAAAACUUGAACUCUGUGCUUUGAUACCAAGUUUGUCACGACUCGAGACUACCCCUCAGUCGUAACACGGUGCUUAGAACCACAAGUGAUCCCAAACUAACCCAUGAACUGGAAUAAUACUUUAGCAUCUAAAUUAAAAUAUAUAAAAUAGCGAAGUUUGUGGUGCGGAAACAUAUUCAUGAUAUAAUCUGGAUAAUAUAAUUCUAAUAAAGAUUACAACUUGAUAAAACUGAAGAGAGAACUGGAAUUUAUAUUUCAUGACUCUAACUGACUCUCUAUGAAGCCUCUACUAUACUGACUAUAGAUUGUUGGGACAUGUCUCCAACUACCACUAAUCAAUACCUACAAAUAAAUACAAUACAAUACAUGAACUACAACUGACUGGAGUCCCCGAUAUAGGAGAACUCAUUAGACUGGAAGCUGCAACUAUCUGAUUCUAAUGUGUAGGCUACAACUGGUACCUACAUUAUGAGAUAAUGUAGCACAUAGACAUAUAUGUGGAUCAAUACUUUAGAAUGUACUGAGUAAGUAAGGGUGAAUGUAAUACGUAAAACUGAUUACAUAUAAAAUCUUAAAACAUGUAUGCUACGUGCAAGUAGACUCAUCAAGAGACUGAAAUAAACUGAAAGCUGAAGUAUCUUAAAACAUGAGUAACAAACAUGAUCUGAUAAGCUGGUGAAUCACUAUACUUAGUUUCUUAAAUCUUUAAUUUUGUAGAAUAAGUAGAACUGAAGCUGGGAAGCGGUAAACAUGAAUAUUGUAUGUACAUCUCAUGUAAAGUUGAACAUGUUGUAAAACUAUACUGAGGAUCAUGUAUGAAUUAUGAGUUUGAAACUAUGGGAUAGAAACUGACAUAACUCGAGGAUCUGAAUAUACCGAUGUACUGAGAAUUAAUGCAUGAAUAUACAAAACCAAACCUAACAUGUACUAGGCUGAUCUGAUUAACUAAAUAACUGGUGCCUGCGUGACUGAAUGAUUGAAAUCUAAGUAAAAGGAUAACUAAUGUCUAUAUACUGAGUAGUUGAUAUCUGAAUAUGGACUAACUAAUUUACGAACUUUGAAUAGCUGAUAAUUGAAUAUAGAAUAACCGUCAUUUGAAUACUGAUCAACUGACAUAUAAAUACUGAUUAACUAAUAUAUGUAUACUGAUUAACUGAUAUUUUAAUGUUGAUUAUGCAAUACUGAACUGUACUUAAUCUGAAUAACUGGACUGAAACUGUGGGAGGUAUCAUGUAACCAACAUGCCCUAAUCUAAGCUAAUUGGGAUCCAAACUGUAACCCCAGUUGGAAGGGUGUCAGUACCGUGCCACGGGUACUAACACUGUCUGUGUGGAUCUACUAAACUGGUGUCCCAAAGGACUAAAGAGUCACCCUAUACUGGCAGGUGCCCUCAUGAGAUCUGUGUUAACCCUCAACUGGCAGAUAGAUAUCUCAAACCUACGUUGUCUACGUAAUCUGUAACUCAGGGAUUGCUACUAAGGAUCACACCCUCCUACUGGCAGGUGAUCCCCCAUUCCUGGAUUUGCUCGGUGCUAAAUCAUACUCCUAACUGAACUGACACUGGUACUAAACUGAACUAAGUUUAACUGAACAUUAUUACUGAUAACUAUAGUGCUCAUCAUAAUCAUAAAUAUAUGAGUAAAUAAUAAGACUCACGAUUUUACUGAAUUAUUACUUAAAAGAUCUGUACCGUAAGUAAACAUAUAGGUAUUGGGUGUUCAUAACCCGCCAACACUGAAUGAUCAUAAAUCCCGAUAUCAACACUUAAAACUGUAGGAUGGGAAUCAUGGUUCAAAGACCCAAAACAUGAACAUUUCACCAAACAUGUGAGAAACAUGAACUUGAACAAGAGAAUGUGUUAAACAUGAGAAUCAACAUUAUUACACGACUAAAUUCAUAAAUUGGGGGUUUAAAAUGAAAUUCACUUGAAUAUGACAUAGAAAAUUGAAACCUAAAGCAUGCGAUAACAUAACUAUCCAUGGAGCCAAACUUGGACAUGAAUUGAGUUCAAAUCACUAAGGAAAACAUAAAAUAAACCCAUCUUGAACCUAUGCAUAUUCAAUAUAAAAAAACUCAUCUUUUUAAAUCAAAGAAAGGUUUUUGAGCUCUAUGGGUGAAAGGGACCCAUGAAUGAACUCUCACAUACAUUAAUUAGAAUAAUUUUGGCAAUUGAAACUUGAAUCCUUGAAGAAAUAAUUGAAUUCUCCGAGAGAAAGUUGAAUAUUUUGUUCUUGGGAAGAGGAGGGUUUAUACGUGAGAGAUUUUGAGGAAGAUGGGCAAAUAAUUCCCUUUUGGGUGUUAUAAUUCGUGCCUUGGACAUUUGGGGUUGAGGGGAAAGAACCAAAGUGCCCUUUGACCCUUAAGUAGCUGAAACAGAAGGGGAAUAAGCUCUGCGUCGCAUCCCAUAUCGCGUGGAGAGAGCAACGCGUUGUGCCCCAUAUCGCAUGGAGAGACCGGCGCACCGCGGCCAAAUAGCUAACCCUUACUACUUUGCACUAAAAUGGCCAUAAUUUCUCUUGAGUAUCAGAGGCAAAAUUGGUAUCGUUAGAAUGAUAACUUAAUUAUCUAUCAUUUGGUGGGUCUUGAGCUGAAAAAUUCCACGUAUAUAAAAAGUUAUAGACAUUCAAAUUAUACCCUUGUAGAAUCAAAUACAAAGAUUUGGUUGAAUCAAAGGCUCAACUUUGUUCUAAGUGAGUCCUACGAAAAAUUUUCACCUCAAAAGCACUUCACACACUAGGUUAAUGAUCAUGACACAUGUAUUCACAUACAAAUCAUGCGAUUAAAGUUUACACACGUAGGAACGACGGUUCAAAGUCUAGCCCGAAAAUGAGUGGUGUUAUAUAUAGCCUAUAUAUAUUAGAGAAAAAGACAUGGCUGACUAGUUACAGAACAAAUGGCCUAAGUUUUGCCUACUGGACAAUAAUGGUAUGUCAAGUCUUUUAUUUCUAAUUUAUAGCCAUUGGUACUGAUAUCUGCUACUGUAAUUCUUUCCUCCCUGAAACUUCUAGUGACCUUCAAUUUGACCUAAUCUCCAAUGACACACCAGCUGCCACCCGCAACCGGAUUUCCAACUAUGAUGGAUCAACAACUAUAUUUGCCUCCUUCUCAAUUCCCACCUCUCCUUUCAAAGAAAGCUUUAGAUAUGCCUUCCACAUCAACACCUGGUGACAAUAGAGAGCAACAAGAUACAAUUCUUCCCACUAGGAACUUUGGUGAUUUGUUCAAUCCCACCAUUCUUAAUAAUGUUAAUCCUUUUAAUAAUAACUCUGUUGAACCCAUCCUAAUCAAGCAGUUUGAAUAUGAUGAUAGAGUGCCAGUGGUAAUAUGGACUAAAGCAUAGGUCAGCCGUAUGGAUAUUAUAGAAAGCCUCUAAUACGCAAUUGCUGGUAAGUUUACAUUUGGUUAGCCGAAAGUUGAACAUCUCAAAAAGGCUAUCACAUCUCAAUGUAGCAUAAAAGGUGCUUGUCGCAUAGGAGUUCUGUGAGACCAACAUGUAAUUUUCAGAUGUGCCCUACUGGAGGAUUUUGUUAUUGUGAUGUCCAAGCCAUCAUAUUAUAUCAAGGACAGUGAAGCCCUCAAAUGCAUUCUUUGAUUUAUGAUACAAAUUUCAAAGUGAACAAGGAAACUACACAAGCUAUGGCGUGGAUAUAAUUUUCUAACUUGUUACCUGCUGUCUUUGUCAAGGAAGAUUUAUUCAUACUCCCUUUAGCAGUAGAAAAACCAUUACAUUUGGAUAUGGACACCAUCAGUAAAACACGACCUAGUUAUGCUAGGGUCAAGGUCAGGUAGACUUAGUAUCCAAGUUACCAUAUUCAGUAAAAAUAAAGAUUUAAGGAUGAAAAAUCAGGGGCAAUUACCACGGAAUACAUUAAAAUUCAAUAUAUGACCAUUUGCCUAAAUUUUGUGCAACAUGUAAUAUUUAGGGGCACAACACAAGCAAUUAUCGGAUAUUUCACCCAGAUUAAGGCCACAAAAAUGGAGCAAUAAUGAAACAAACUCACAAACAUCAAAAGAAGGUUCUCCAAAGAAGCAUAGGAAGCAACAACAAGAAGUAUUCCCUUCAAGAAAACUGACAAGCGGUAGAAUUAUUGGAGAUCCAAUUGCCCAAAAAGAAACAAAAGUCAAGCAUCAAGAUGAUAAGGAUAGGCCUACGAGUGUAACACGUAAUAACUCUAAUGCUAACAAAGAUAUUGCAAUUAAAAAUAAGUUUGACACCUUGAAUUAACACGCAGAACAACAAGUAGAGGUAGCUCAUUAAGGAGGGAAAGAUGGGGUCAACUCAGGAAAAGAAAAAUCUGAAGGUGGCGGAUUCACUUGCGAAAAAUACAGAAAUGGAUGAUAAAACUGAUGAGCUAGUGGAGGAGGUGGAAGAGAAAGAGGAGAAUUUCAAUACUCCUUUGGGAAAAGAUGAUUGUAUUUAGGGCUGGCAAUUUCAGCUCAUAUUUGUGAAAAGAGUUCAUUUAACCCAUAUUUAUUGAAUUGGAUCACUCAUAUUUCAAAUGGCUAAAUAUGAACUUCAACUCAUUUUAAAAGCUCAUACAAAUAUGGACAAAAUAGGUAAAAUAUGGGUACCCAUUUAAACACAGAAAUACCCACCUAUGCUUAAAAUUUCAGGGUUAUUUUUCUUUUCUAGUUUCUUUUCUUCUUUUCUUUUGUUUUUUCUUUCUUUUUUCCUUUAAUUUACUUUUUUUCUUUUUCAUUUUUACUCAUUUCUUAUAAUUUCUUUUUUUCUUUCUCAUUUUUCAUCUAUUUUUUUAUUUUUUUUCUUUUUUCUUUGUAUUUUUUUCGUUUUCCCCUUUCUCAUUUCACUUGAGACCUACAUGGAUUAAUUAAUUUAAGCUUCUGGUUAUUUCAUUUAGCCUAUACAAUUUAUAGCAUCUCUUAUCAAUUAAAUAUAAUUCAUAGUCUCACUCCUUUAUUAUUAUUUUUUUCUAUCUUUUAUUUCUCUUUCUUUUUUUUCUUUUCCAAUUUUUUUCUUUCUUUUUUCUUUAAUUUACUAUUUUUUCUUCUUUUUCCUUUAAUUUACUUCUUUUUCUUUUUCAUUUUUUUGUUUUUUUCCACUUAUUUUUUAUUCGUUUCUUACACUUUUUUCUUUCUUCUAUUUCAUCAUUUUUUUUCUUUUUCAAUUUUAUUUCUUUUUUCUUCGCAUUCUUUUUUUUUUUGUAUUUCCAUUUUCCCCUUUUUCAUUCUUGGUUCAUCAUGUCAUUUUUCUUUUUCUUUUUAUAUAUUUUUUUCCUCAUCUUUUUUUUCAUCGCAUUUUAUAUUUUAUAGUUUUUUUUACUUUAAAUUUAUUUGUAUCGUAUUAUAUAUUUCAAAUAAUUUUAUUAUUUGUAUUUGAAUAGCUUAGUUGUCAAUAUAUACAAUUUAUCAUUUGUAUUUUUAUACAAAUAAGUGUAUGAAUUAAUUGUAUUUUUCUCGAUACUAAAAUAUAUAAAUAUACAAUGUAUCAUUCAAUGCAAAUGUCAUUAGUAUUUGUAUAUCAAAUUUAUCAUUUAUAUUUGUAUAUAAACAAGUAUCAUUAGUAUGUGUAUGGUUCAAGUUGUAUAAACAUGUAUCAUUUGAUACAAUUGUAACAUUUGUAUUUGUAUAAUUUAGCAAUUGUAUUUGCAUAAUUUUAUUAUUUUUAUUUGUAUUGUUUAAUUCAUAUCAAUAAAAUACAAGUUGUAUCAAUAUAUAUAAAUAUAAGUGUUCGUAGAAAGAAAAUAAUUUUUCUUUUUCAAUUGUUUAAAAAUACAAAAUGAUACUGUAAACUACGAAUGCAAAUACAAAUAAAUGCAAUUAUAAAUACAAAUACAAUACACGGUAAACUUAAAAAUACAAAUAUAAAAUAGACCUUUCAAAAUACAAGUUCAUCAAUGAAAAUAGAAUACAAAUACAAAUACAAUACACGGUAAACUUAAAAAUACAAAUAUAAAAUAGACCUUUCAAAAUACAAGUUCAUCAAUGAAAAUAGAAUACAAAUACAAAUACAAUACACGGUAAACUUAAAAAUACAAAUAUAAAAUAGACCUUUCAAAAUACAAGUUCAUCAAUGAAAAUAGAAUACAAAUACAAAUACAAUUGCAUUAAGUAGCUUGGUCCAUCUUUAUUCCAUUUCAUAUAUGGCAUAGGAUCCACAUAGCCCUCGAUUUAUGGGAAAGUCCAGCUUCAAAUCCAACUUCUAACUCCCUUAUCUUAGAGUUCUCGUUAGAGCAGAAGGCACGAAACGAAGGGCUUAGGGUCAGGCAAGGCAGGAAGUACGUAGAAACCUUGAUUUGUUUACUUUUUGAAACUGCUAAAGAUAUUUGGUUUGACGAAUGUAAUCCCCAGAUCUUUCAGGAUACUAUUUUUGUAUUUGUCCAUUAGGUGGAGUCCACUUGAGUGUACUUACACAAAUUAUAAAUGCAGGGCGAAUAUAAAUCAAUAUGCGCUUAGGGUAAUUUCGUUAUCAUAAAAAAAAAAAUAGAAAAAAAAUCAAAAAAGAAAAAAAAAAAAAAGAAGAAAAAGUUAGCGAUAGAAGAGAGAAAAAAAACGUAAAGAAAGAAUUGAAGAAAAAAAUACAAAAAAAUCAAAAAGAAAAAGAUAAUGAAAAAGGAGAAAAGGAAAAAGAAAAAAAAUGAUGAUAAAUACAAAUAUACUGAGUGGUUAUGAUAUUUUAGUCAUCAUCCAUAAUUUGUACUCGACUUAACCAUGUUCUUCGAAAAUAAAAAAAAUAUAAAACAUAAAAUACAACCAAAAAAAGAAAAAAAUGUGAAAGAAGUAAAAACAAAACAAAAUAAAAAAUAGAAAAAAGGAGACUAAAAAGGAAAAGAAAAAAAAGAAAAAAGAAAGAGAAGUAAAGGGUAGAGAUAGAAAAGAGAAAAAAAAAAUUGAAAAAAGUAAAAAAAUAAAAAAAAUAAAACUAGAGGCUACGUAUAGAAGAGAGAGAGAAACUAUAAAAAAAAAAAAAAGGGAAAAAAUGUCAAGUUGAUAUGAUAUAGAAGUUUUAAGUUUUUGACUUUAGGAGUUAAAGUGGGUUGAAACCAUUUUUACCUAAUUUAUAUUUGACCAAAUUCAUAUUUACCCAUAUUUAUAUGGGCGAAUUGCAAUCCAAACCAUUUUUGCUCGAUUCAUAUUUAACCCGUCCAAAUCCAAUCCAAUUCGCCCAUUUGCCACCGCUAAUUGUAUUAGUAGCAACAUGAGUGGAACUAGAACCAAAAUAGGGGUAGAUAAUUCUUGUGAAUCCCUAUAAAGAUCUAGUAGUGGGGUGAUAGGGUAGAAGAAGAUGAUGAUGGUGUAGUUAGACUAUUUCAUGAUAAUAAUGAUAGGUAUAUUAUGGACAAGAAAGAUUCUAAAUCUAUUGUAAUGACUCUAAUGGUUGUUUCUCCAAUUAAUAAAGUGCUAUAUCAUGAAAAAAUAGUGGGUUACUAUCUACCAAGAAAUGAAGAGAAGAUUCGGACUUUUUUAGGGAGUGAUUCUGCAGAUAAUGGCGCAACGGACUAUACAGAUCAUGGUGAUAACAGAUCAAGAGACUCACCUAACAGGGUAUUAAAUGCAAUUGUUUCACCUAAGGUGAUAGAGAUGGAAAAAAAUAUGGAGGAAUCAGAAGACGUACAAGUUGAGAAGGGAGAAACAAAGGUAUUACAACUUCUCCCAAAUAAAAAGGAGGUAGAAGAGCUAAGAAACAAGGAAACACAGAGGUUUUAGUAGAUCACAAGAAGGUUGACUAGAAAUGCUACCACAAAAUCCAAUAGUUUAUGAUGAAAGUACUAUUUUAAAACAUUAGAUCAGUGAAGACACAUCAAGCUUUUCAUAGAGUUCAAAUGCUUCAUAAGUAUAAUAAGUUCACAUUGAUUGCUUUCAUGGAGUCUUUUCAGAGAACUACUCAAGUUGAAAGGUACAAAAGGAGAUUGGGUAUGCAAUCAGGAGGUUGUAACUGUACAGGACAAAUAUGGAACUUUGUAGAUCAUAAUGUGGAGGUAGAAGUAAUUAUGAACAUUGAAAAACAAGUUACAUUAAACUUGCUCUUUCAAAACAUCAACAAACAUUGUUAUACUACUAUGAUAUACGCAAAAUACACUGCGGGGGGAAAGGUUGGUAGCGAUAUCUAUUAUCGAUGGUGGAAGUGGUUAGUGGUGGUGGGUGGUGGUUGAUAAUGGUGGCGGUGGCAGAGGUGAUUAGUAGUGAUGAUUGAUGAUUAUGAAUAGAGUGACGGUGAAUAUUAUCGAACACCAAAAUUCUUCUUCAGACCUAUUAAGACUUGAUUCUAAAUCUGAAUGAUUAAGACCUAUUCAGACUUAUUAAGAGCUAAAAUCUUAUAAAAAACAAAUGCACUUAAUAGUCUGAAGUCUGAACCAUUCAGAUUCAGACCUCCACUAAGUGCAAACAAAUGAGCCCCAAGUCUAUGGGGGAGUAUUUAUCAUUUGUCAAAUAGCAUGAAUGUACCUUGGCUAGUAGGAGGUGAUUGUAAUGUCAUUUUAUAUAAAGUGGAGAAGCUUGGGGGUCUACCUGUGCUCUCCCAAGAAUGUGAAGAUUUUGCAUUUUGUAUCAAUUUUUGUGAAUUACAAGAGGUGCAUUAAACAAGCAAUCGUUUCACAUGAUGGAACGGCAGGGCAGGAGAAUAUCGCAUUUUCAAAAGGCUUGAUUGAAUUGUCAUUAAUCAACUCUAGCAAGAAUGGUUUGAAGGUAUGGAAGUUGAACAUCUAUCAAGAACUGGUUUGGACCAUGCUCCACUACUGGUUACCAUGUUUGAACAGAUAAAACAGUUCCACGGGCCUUUCAAAUUCUUGAAGUUUUGGUUGGAAAAUGAAGGCUUCUUGGAGGUUGUGAGGCAAAACUAGAUUUCCAACGGUGAAGGUAAUUAUUUUUUAUCAAUUUAAUCAGAAAAUCAGAAGUGUCAAAAAAGCUCUAACUGCCUGACUUAAGGAGACAUAUAUGAACAUCUUCAGUCAAAUUAUCAUGAAGAAAAAAGUGAUAAAACUCAACAAACAACUGUUUGAGGAGGAACAUAAUGCAGGUAAUAGGAUGAUUAUGAAUCAAAUACAGGAAAAACUUAAAAAGUGUCUGCAAAUAAAGAGGAAUUCUGAAGGCAAAAAACAGGUAUAACCUAGUAUUUAGAAAGAGAAAUAAAUACUAGGUUUUUUUAUAGCCUAGUGAAGGAAAGUUGAAAGAGCUUACAAAUUAAAAGAAUUCGGAAUGGGGAGGUACAAUGGUUACAAGAUGAAGACAUGAUAGCUAAUGAAGCUUUAGUAUUCUACUUGAAACAGUUCACUCAAGAGGAGGAAACUACAGAUUUUUCCAUUGUUAAUCAUGUUCUUGUGAUGGUUAUUAGUGAACAAAUGAGGUGAUAUACAACAAACUAGAUUUGGAGGAAGUAAGGAAGGUUUUUUUAGCUUCAGGGAUCCAGAGCUAGUGGACCAAAUAGGCUAACAGGUUUAUUCUAUCAGACAUACUUGAUAUUGUUAGGGAAAAUGUGUUGGGGUUGGUUAAAGCUUUUUAUGAAGGAAACACCCUUCCCAGAUUUAUUAUUCACACAAAUUUGACUCUUUUACCAAAGAAGGAUAACAUUCAGACAUUUGCAGACCUAAGGCCUAUCAACUUAAGUAACUUUAUUAAUAAAGUUAUCUCUAUAGAGGUCCAUGGUAGAAUAGAGAAGUUGUUACCACAGAUUAUAUCCUCUAACCAAUUGUGUUUUGUGAAGGAAAGGAGAAUAGCUGAGAAUGUUCUGACAUAAGAAAAAGAGAAAAACCUUCUAAUAUAGUGAUUAAGUUAGAUAUGGCCAAAAUUUAUAACAGAGUCUCUUGAUUGUACCUUACCAAGUUAUUGAGAAGGAUGAGGUUUAGUGAGAUCUUUAUAGAUAUGGUUUGGAGACUAUUUGCAAAUAACUGGUAUUUUACCUUACUAAAUGGGCAGCCCAAAGGAUUUUUUUAUUCUAUCAGGAGAGUAAACUAAAGGGAUCCUUUAUCUCCAGCUUUGUUUGUUAUUAUAGAAGAAGUUCUUUCUAGGGCUUUGAACUCCCUUAUGGAUUCAAACUCAUAUCAAGGAUUUGGUAUGCCUAAUAGAGUACCAAAAUUAAUCACCUUACCUAUGCAGGUGAUACUAUAAUUUUUAUAUCUACUGAUAGUAAUUCUCAGAGACAGAUAAAGGAGGUUUUGCAAGGUUAUGAGAAAGUCUCUGGACAAUUGAUUAACACAGAAAAAUCAACCUUUUACGCGUAUCAAAAGGUCCAGAAGGAAUUAUUUCAAGAGGAGCUCACAUCACUGGAUUCAACAGGGGCAAUUUUUCUUUCAAGUACCUUGAUUGUCCUAUUUUUCAUGCUAGAAAGAACAAGGUGUCUUAUAAUGAGCUGAUUAAAAAGAUCAAGGAGAAAUUGUAAUAUUGAAAAGAGAAUUUGUUAUCACUGGUGGGUAAGGCUGUGUUGAUUAAUAAUGUCUUGAUUAGUAUGCCCACAUACUUGUUAUCUGCGAUGGCUCAUACGAAGUACACAUUAAAUAAAAUUCAUAAGAUCUUUGCUAGAUUUUAUUGGAGUAACAAGGAGGAAGGAAGAAGUAAGCACUGGUCUGAAUAGUUAAAAAUAUGUUUGUCUAAAUAGGAAGGGGGCUUGGGAUUCAGAUCUUUAUUUGAUAUAUCAAAAGCUCUAUUUUCUAAAUUUAGGUGAAAGUUCAGAACUACAACAACAUUAAUGACCAACUUCAUAUGGAAUAAAUAUUGCAAAAAAUAGAUAACAACAUCGAUAAGCUGGAAAGGAGCCUCGCAAUUGUGGAAGAAAAUGCUAGAGGCCAGAGAUGAAGUUGAAGCUAACAUAUGGAGAGAACCUAGAAAGGGUAAUGCCAAUUUAUGGUAUGAUAACUGAACUAGUAUAUCAUCUUCUGCUUCCAAUCAAAGAGAUGACAGAUUUGAAGAGGUGAAUUAUUUCAUGAAUGAAGAAAUAUGGAAUGAAGAGCUUCUUAGACAGAGUCUACCAAAUUAUCUAGUAGAUCAUAUUACUUCAGAGUUACCUAAUAGGGAAGAAUCAACAACUUUUGAUAAGGCUUGGUGGUUGUGCACAAUUAAUGACAAGUUUAUAGUUUAAUCAGCUUGGGAGUUGAUCAGGCAAAGGGCUGAGCAACAUUGGUUCUUCAAAAAACUAUGAACUACAUGUUUGACUUUGAAAACAUUAUUCUUCUUAUGGAGGUUUGGAGGAAAAAGCUGCAUAUCGAUGAUAUUCUAGCCACUAUGGAAUUAGCAUUGUUUCACAACAGGAAACUUCGACACACCUUUUCUUAACUGGAUAUUAUGUUAGAAUAAUAUGGAAUGCAAAACCCUUUUAUUCGAAUGAAUCAGGCCAUUACAUAAUUAUAGAGUACUAACUAUGCAUCUAGGCUUAAACCAAUCUAUCAAGCUGCUCCAAUAAUUAUACUGUUGCAAUUAUGGAAGAGAAGGAAUAAGAUAGUACAUGGAUGAACAAUGUCUAGGAGCAGUGUGAUUUAUGAUAUUAAUCAAAACUUAUACGUUCUGGCUAAGGUAAGGUUUACUUGGAUUUCAGAUAUGCCUAAUAACUGGCCUGAGUUAAUUAGGAAAUUGGAGAAUCAUAGGCAGCAGAUCAGGUGCUGACUGAUUGAAUGAAAAUUACCCCCACAAGGUAUCUUUAAAUACAAUACUGAUGCAUUCUCAAGAGGUAAUUCUGUACCUAGAUCUAUAGCCUUUUGCAUUAGAGAUUGGAAAUGUGUUCUUAGAUAUGCAAGGAUUAGAAGAAUUGACAACACUACUAGUAUAAAAACAGAAGCUAUGGCUAUUUUGGAGGGAAUGGAGUACUGUGUGAAGAAUGAUAUAUUGCCCCUAAUCAUUGUAACUGAUUUCUUAAUUAUGCAGAAAGUGAUUGAAAUGAAAUGGGAGUGCCCUUGAUCUAUCAGUAUGUUGGUACAAAAUUUUAUGGACUGAAAACGAAAUGGAGAAGUUCAAAUUUCCCAUGUAUUGAGCGAAGGAAACCAACUGGCAGAUUAUAUGACAAAUAAGUUUGUUGAUUUUGCAGGUACCAUGAAUUUUGUCAAUGAAAGAGCAUUACCAGAUGAAGCUAGAAGAAUUUAUAUGCUGACAGAUCCCAAAUGCCUAAUCUAAGGGUCAAGGAAGAGAACCAGACUAAACGUAUAAGGUCAAGGCAAAAGAACAACAAAUAUCAUGCAAUUGAGUGAUAUCUGUCGAAACUUGAUAGAGAUGUGGAGUUGAGAAAAAUUGGCUAAAGGAAGCUAAAAAGAUUAAAUAAGUUAGAAAUGGAUACCUCUCCGUGGAAACUCCGUCCUUGGUACCUUCAUUGUUGCUUUAUCACGGAGCUCCGGUGGCUGACAGUCAAACAAAUCUUAACUUAGGAGAAAUUUUACUUUGGGCCUCACACGCCAGGUCAUAUUUGUGUGAGGCUCUUCAAAGUAAAAUUUGUGAGGACCAAAGUAAAAUUUCUCUUAACUCGGUGGUUUUUCAUUUCCUGAAGAGAGAAUUGA